GAUGAACGCUGGCGGCGUGCCUAAUACAUGCAAGUCGAGCGAACAGAUGAGGAGCUUGCUCCUCUGACGUUAGCGGCGGACGGGUGAGUAACACGUGGAUAACCUACCUAUAAGACUGGGAUAACUUCGGGAAACCGGAGCUAAUACCGGAUAAUAUAUUGAACCGCAUGGUUCAAUAGUGAAAGACGGUUUUGCUGUCACUUAUAGAUGGGUCCGCGCCGCAUUAGCUAGUUGGUAAGGUAACGGCUUACCAAGGCAACGAUGCGUAGCCGACCUGAGAGGGUGAUCGGCCACACUGGAACUGAGACACGGUCCAGACUCCUACGGGAGGCAGCAGUAGGGAAUCUUCCGCAAAGGGCGAAAGCCUGACGGAGCAACGCCGCGUGAGUGAUGAAGGUCUUCGGAUCGUAAAACUCUGUUAUUAGGGAAGAACAAAUGUGUAAGUAACUAUGCACGUCUUGACGGUACCUAAUCAGAAAGCCACGGCUAACUACGUG
rnacentral:rRNA from 1 species